UCUUUGAUGCCAUUUUAUUUCUACCUUCUCAGGACCAAGUGGCACCUGUGCAACAGUAAGUGUUGUGUACAUUUUUGUAACAAACACAUAGGCAAAACACUUAUAGGAAAUCUAUAUUCUUGGCAGACAAUCAAUAAUUGUUAUAGAGGACGAGGUUGGAGCAGCAGCAGGUGUGAUAAAUACUCAGUGUGAGGUCCAAGAGCAGAACCCUGUACUUGAGGUAGAAGUUGUCAGGACACCUGAUGUUGUUCUAAAUGCUCAGAGGCACACCCAGGAGCAGGUGAUGGUGGAGGUGGCUGAACUGGACGAGAACACAGAAAAUGAAGGGACAAGCGAGU